rnacentral:misc_RNA from 1 species
GUUUAGCCGUAAAUAAACUUACACCCAACACGCCAAAGGAUUACAAGUGCAAGCCUAAAACUUAAGGACUUGACGGUGUCUCAUCCUCCUAGAGGAGCCUGUCCUAUGAUCGAUAACCCCCGAUAUACCCGACUGCUUUUUGCCUCUCAGCCUGUAUACCUCCGUCGAAAGCUUACCUUGUGAAAGCCACUUAGUGAGCCAAUAGGCUAUUACGCCAUUAUGUCAGGUCAAGGUGCAGCCAAUAUAGCAGCAGAGAUGGGCUACAGUUUCUAUAAUAGAACAUACAGAUGGAUUUCCAAUGAAACAGACCAGAAGGCGGAUUUAGAAGUAAAAAGAAAAUAAAGAGUUCUUUUUAAUUAGGUCCUGAGACAAGUACACACCGCCCGUCACCCUCUUCAAACAACCCCAUUAUGAUAUAUAACCCAACAUUCCAAGAAAGAAGAGGCAAGUCGUAACAAGGUAAGCGUACUGGAAAGUGCGCUUGGACAACAAAGUGUAGCUUAACUAAAGCACAUCGCUUACACCGAUGAGACAUUUGUUUAAUCCAAAUCACCUUGAUUCAAACACUAAAGCUCUACGUACCUUAAUAUCAUUACUUCCCCUAAUUAAAAAUUAGAAAAAACAUUUUUCCUGUCAAGUAUAGGUGAUAAAAAAACAAUUAAAAGCUUUAAAUUAGUACCGCAAGGGAACUAUGAAAUAUAAAUUUAACAAAAAAGAAUAAAAAAGCAAAGAUUAAAUCUUG